rnacentral:rRNA from 1 species
UACGUAGGGUGCAGGCGUUAAUCGGAAUUACUGGGCGUAAAGCGUGCGCAGGCGGUUUGCUAAGACAGGUGUGAAAUCCCCGGGCUCAACCUGGGAACUGCGUUUGUGACUGCAAGACUCGAGUGCGGCAGAGGGGGGUGGAAUUCCACGUGUAGCAGUGAAAUGCGUAGAGAUGUGGAGGAACACCGAUGGCGAAGGCAGCCCCCUGGGUCGACACUGACGCUCAUGCACGAAAGCGUGGGGAGCAAACAGG